UCUCACCGAUUGUCGUUCGAAGUUUCAGGAGGAUGACACUAGUGAUUUCACUUUUUGCAAAAUGAUAAAACCGUUAACAGAAUGCAUGUAUGAAGCUGCAACAUCUUGUAAAACAGGAUUCGAGCAAUUGGCAGAGAAAGCAUUAUCCAUACAAAAUGAUCUGUGUACAGAAGGAACAUAUUACUACAAUGGUAUU